AUGUUAAUGAAACAUAGUCUCUUACUCCUGAGGGUGUCGAUGUUUUCUAAAUGGAUGAUGUGCCAGAAUACCCUCAAAUCACAAUACUACUUAUAAAUUUGAUUCUUAUGGGAGGAUUUUUGUCUGGACAACGUCAUGAAGAGCUUGCUGAAAGUUCAUCUAGCAACUAUCCACAGACCAGAAUAUCUAUUUGAAAUACUUUGAAACAAGCCUGAGACACCUGCAUGGCCUGCAGAAAUGAAUGAAAACCAAAUUAGAAGAGUAAGAGUAAGAACGGUAUCACACUGACCACGCUGCCCCUGCCGCUCCCCAAGUUGGCACCACCCCAGGAGAGGAUUUCCCUGGACCUACGGUUUCCACAGGGGAAGAGAGAAGUGGAAGCAGUCACUCAGCUUCCCUAGCAUUUUGAAACGCUUCCCAGGAAGACCCCUCCAGUCUCAAAUCAGAGAAACACUGCGGGUAAGGGCACUGCUCCAUUGCCUAGGGUCAGGUAAAAACGAAGAAGGGAGGCAGAAGUCAUAUUCCCCAGCCUGCGGAACUUGGUGGCACCUCCAUACUCCUGCCAGCUGUACCACCCGACUGGAGAUAUCAGCCAACUUCCCAGCCCAUCCCCAAAGUUGGACCGGUCGCCUUCAGAAGCACGGUGGGAAGUUCAACCCACUUGAGUCCCUAGAUGACUAGUCUGCACGCCCAGCCUCGGAGUCCACCCCACAAACCCCGCUUAGGGAGGGUGAUGUCCGCCUCUGCCCAUUUUGGUGAAGCACAGGAGCUAGACCUGACUGACUGGGGAAUUCAAGCAGCAGCUCCACUCAGCCAAAAUGUCCACUUGCCAAGGCAUUCAGAGAGACGCUGAGGCUAGACCUGCUUCACCAGGGAGGUUAAACAGCCAAUGAACUCAGUCAAAAGCCCACCCCACGACUCCUCCCUUACAGGGAGGCAAUGCUCAAUCGUGCAUUUCUAAAGAGCAUAGCAUCUGGCCCUUCCGUCCUUAGCACUGACUCUGCCUAACUUCGGGGUCCCGCCUGCAGCCCACCUAACUGCAGAUCUCAAAUCGCAGAACUGCUCAGCCAGAAAACACAUCUUUUGACCCACCUGACCACAAACCAUCACAGUACCCAGCCAGGAGCUCCGCCUGGUGGCAGAGCCCAGCCAGUGGCCUCAGCAGGAAGGGGCCCAGAGAGCAAACCCACCCAACAUUAGAAAAAAGGCAACCAGAAAAAUCCACAACAAGCUCUGCCUGCCCUGAGUCAUCAUCAGGCAGCCCUUCCAAAAUCCAAGGCUAUACUAACUAGAGAAGGCCUAUCCCUGCUGAACACCUAUAAAGACCAGAAGAGGGGGCUGUCUGUUAUGACUUUUGAUAUAUAUAUUGACAGAUUUGCUUUGACAUAUUUUUACAAAUUUGUAUAUGCCCUUAAAAAUGUAUGAAAGCUU